AAAUUUUUUUAAAAAUUAAAAAAUAUUUAUACAAAAAUUAUUAAAUAUUAAAUUAUAUAUACAUCCCAUUUGAGUUGGACCCUAGCCUAUAAUCAAGUCCGUGAAUCUUCUAACAACUAACAAUCCAUACAGUUCAUGUCGAUUUGCCCUGUAUAAUUUCUUGUGGAGACCCAGAAAAAUUUAAAUGAUAGGUAACAACAUUCAGAUGGGGUAGCACGCACGAAGAAAACAGGUUUCAACAAUAUCAACCAUUCCAGUUACAAAGAAAAUGACAGAAAACACAUUUUUAGCAAUUAAGUUUCAGCUAACUAUUUUGUUACCUCCAAUCUGUCCG
rnacentral:misc_RNA from 1 species